rnacentral:rRNA from 1 species
CAGUCGCCACGGUAAUACGAAGGGGGCUAGCGUUGCUCGGAAUGACUGGGCGUAAAGGGCGCGUAGGCGGCGAUCAAAGUCAGGCGUGAAAUUCCUGGGCUCAACCUGGGGGCUGCGUUUGAUACUUGAUUGCUAGAGUGGGGAAGAGGGUCGUGGAAUUCCCAGUGUAGAGGUGAAAUUCGUAGAUAUUGGGAAGAACACCGGUGGCGAAGGCGGCGACCUGGUCCUUGACUGACGCUGAGGCGCGAAAGCGUGGGGAGCAAACAGGAUUAGAUACCCCAGUAGUCCCUGUCUCUUAUAC